rnacentral:rRNA from 1 species
UACGUAGGGGGCUAGCGUUGUCCGGAAUCAUUGGGCGUAAAGCGCGUGUAGGCGGUCCGGUAAGUCCGCUGUGAAAGUCGAGGGCUCAACCCUCGAAUGCCGGUGGAUACUGUCGGGCUUGAGUACGGGAGAGGCGAGUGGAAUUCCUGGUGUAGCGGUGGAAUGCGCAGAUAUCAGGAGGAACACCGGUGGCGAAGGCGCCACUCUGGGCCGGUACUGACGCUGAGGAGCGAAAGCGUGGGUAGCAAACAGG